rnacentral:rRNA from 1 species
UACAGAGGUCUCAAGCGUUGUUCGGAUUCAUUGGGCGUAAAGGGUGCGUAGGCGGCGCGGUAAGUCGGGUGUGAAAUCUCGGAGCUUAACUCCGAAACUGCAUUCGAUACUGCCGUGCUUGAGGACUGGAGAGGAGACUGGAAUUUACGGUGUAGCGGUGAAAUGCGUAGAUAUCAGGAGGAACACCGGUGGCGAAGGCGGGUCUCUGGGCCGUAACUGACGCUGAGACGCGAAAGCGUGGGGAGCAAACAGG